rfam:Dipodomys ordii contig_71682, whole genome shotgun sequence.
UCUUAUUCCGAGCAUUCCAGUAACUUUUUUGUGUAUGUACUUAGUUGUACUAUAAAGUAGUUGGUUUGUAUGAGAUGGUUAAAAA